GACGAACCGUGCAAACGUUGUUCGGAAUCACUGGGCUUAAAGGGCGCGUAGGCGGGCUCGCCAGUCAGGGGUGAAAGCCUCCAGCUCAACUGGAGAAGUGCCUUUGAUACUGCGAGCCUCGAGGGAGGUAGGGGCGUGCAGAACUUCCGGUGGAGCGGUGAGAUGCGUAGAUAUCGGAAGGAACACCGGUGGCGAAAGCGGCGCGCUGGACCUCUUCUGACGCUGAGGCGCGAAAGCCAGGGGAGCAAACGGG
rnacentral:rRNA from 1 species